CUGGUGGCUUCAGCAGCAGGUGUACUGAAGUCGGAACGAUACGGGGAGGAUUGGCGUGGCCCCUCCACAAGGAUGAUAUGCAACUCUGUGAAGACUUUGUAUUAAAA
ensembl:snRNA U6 U6 spliceosomal RNA